GAUGAACGCUGGCGGCGUGCCUAAUACAUGCAAGUCGCGCGAACGGACGAGAAGCUUGCUUCUCUGAUGUUAGCGGCGGACGGGUGAGUAACACGUGGAUAACCUACCUAUAAGACUGGGAUAACUUCGGGAAACCGGAGCUAAUACCGGAUAAUAUUUUGAACCGCAUGGUUCAAAAGUGAAAGACGGUCUUGCUGUCACUUAUAGAUGGAUCCGCGCUGCAUUAGCUAGUUGGUAAGGUAACGGCUUACCAAGGCAACGAUGCAUAGCCGACCUGAGAGGGUGAUCGGCCACACUGGAACUGAGACACGGUCCAGACUCCUACGGGAGGCAGCAGUAGGGAAUCUUCCGCAAUGGGCGAAAGCCUGACGGAGCAACGCCGCGUGAGUGAUGAAGGUCUUCGGAUCGUAAAACUCUGUUAUUAGGGAAGAACAUAUGUGUAGGUAACUGUGCACAUCUUGACGGUACCUAAUCAGAAAGCCACGGCUAACUACGUGCCAGCAGCCGCGGUAAUACGUAGGUGGCAAGCGUUAUCCGGAAUUAUUGGGCGUAAAGCGCGCGUAGGCGGUUUUUUAAGUCUGAUGUGAAAGCCCACGGCUCAACCGUGGAGGGUCAUUGGAAACUGGAAACCUUGAGUGCAGAAGAGGAAAGUGGAAUUCCAUGUGUAGCGGUGAAAUGCGCAGAGAUAUGGAGGAACACCAGUGGCGAAGGCGACUUUCUGGUCUGUAACUGACGCUGAUGUGCGAAAGCGUGGGGAUCAAACAGGAUUAGAUACCCUGGUAGUCCACGCCGUAAACGAUGAGUGCUAAGUGUUAGGGGGUUUCCGCCCCUUAGUGCUGCAGCUAACGCAUUAAGCACUCCGCCUGGGGAGUACGACCGCAAGGUUGAAACUCAAAGGAAUUGGCGGGGACCCGCACAAGCGGUGGAGCAUGUGGUUUAAUUCGAAGCAACGCGAAGAACCUUACCAAAUCUUGACAUCCUUUGACAACUCUAGAGAUAGAGCUUUCCCCUUCGGGGGACAAAGUGACAGGUGGUGCAUGGUUGUCGUCAGCUCGUGUCGUGAGAUGUUGGGUUAAGUCUCGCAACGAGCGCAACCCUUAAGCUUAGUUGCCAUCAUUAAGUUGGGCACUCUAAGUUGACUGCCGGUGACAAACCGGAGGAAGGUGGGGAUGACGUCAAAUCAUCAUGCCCCUUAUGAUUUGGGCUACACACGUGCUACAAUGGACAAUACAAAGGGCAGCGAAACCGCGAGGUCAAGCAAAUCCCAUAAAGUUGUUCUCAGUUCGGAUUGUAGUCUGCAACUCGACUACAUGAAGCUGGAAUCGCUAGUAAUCGUAGAUCAGCAUGCUACGGUGAAUACGUUCCCGGGUCU
rnacentral:rRNA from 1 species